AACGUAGGGGGCCAGCGUUGCUCGGAAUUACUGGGCGUAAAGGGUCCGUAGGCGGUGUGACAAGUCGGUAGUGAAAUCUCUGGGCUUAACUCAGAGGCUGCUGCCGAAACUGUUGUGCUUGAGUGUGAGAGAGGCGAGUGGAAUUACGGGUGUAGCGGUGAAAUGCGUAGAUAUCCGUAGGAACAUCCGAGGCGAAAGCGGCUCGCUGGAUCACAACUGACGCUGAGGGACGAAAGCUAGGGGAGCAAACAGG
rnacentral:rRNA from 2 species